UUGGGGAAUAUUGGACAAUGGGCGAAAGCCUGAUCCAGCCAUGCCGCGUGUGUGAAGAAGGUCUUCGGAUUGUAAAGCACUUUAAGUUGGGAGGAAGGGCAGUAAGUUAAUACCUUGCUGUUUUGACGUUACCGACAGAAUAAGCACCGGCUAACUUCGUGCCAGCAGCCGCGGUAAUACGAAGGGUGCAAGCGUUAAUCGGAAUUACUGGGCGUAAAGCGCGCGUAGGUGGUUUUGUAAGUUGGAGGUGAAAUCCCCGGGCUCAACCUGGGAACUGCCUCCAAAACUGCAUGACUAGAGUACGGUAGAGGGUAGUGGAAUUUCCUGUGUAGCGGUGAAAUGCGUAGAUAUAGGAAGGAACACCAGUGGCGAAGGCGACUACCUGGACUGAUACUGACACUGAGGUGCGAAAGCGUGGGGAGCAAACAGGAUUAGAUACCCCAGUAGUCC
rnacentral:rRNA from 1 species